rnacentral:rRNA from 1 species
UGCUACACAUGCAAGUCGAACGUGAAGCAGAGCUGCUCUGUGGAUCAGUGGCGAACGGGUGAGUAACACGUGAGCACCUGCCCCUGACUCUGGGAUAAGCGCUGGAAACGGCGUCUAAUACUGGAUAUGUGACGUGACCGCAUGGUCUGCGUUUGGAAAGAUUUUUCGGUUGGGGAUGGGCUCGCGGCCUAUCAGCUUGUUGGUGAGGUAAUGGCUCACCAAGGCGUCGACGGGUAGCCGGCCUGAGAGGGUGACCGGCCACACUGGGACUGAGACACGGCCCAGACUCCUACGGGAGGCAGCAGUGGGGAAUAUUGCACAAUGGGCGAAAGCCUGAUGCAGCAACGCCGCGUGAGGGAUGACGGCCUUCGGGUUGUAAACCUCUUUUAGCAGGGAAGAAGCGAAAGUGACGGUACCUGCAGAAAAAGCGCCGGCUAACUACGUGCCAGCAGCCGCGGUAAUACGUAGGGCGCAAGCGUUAUCCGGAAUUAUUGGGCGUAAAGAGCUCGUAGGCGGUUUGUCGCGUCUGCUGUGAAAUCCCGAGGCUCAACCUCGGGCCUGCAGUGGGUACGGGCAGACUAGAGUGCGGUAGGGGAGAUUGGAAUUCCUGGUGUAGCGGUGGAAUGCGCAGAUAUCAGGAGGAACACCGAUGGCGAAGGCAGAUCUCUGGGCCGUAACUGACGCUGAGGAGCGAAAGGGUGGGGAGCAAACAGGCUUAGAUACCCUGGUAGUCCACCCCGUAAACGUUGGGAACUAGUUGUGGGGUCCAUUCCACGGAUUCCGUGACGCAGCUAACGCAUUAAGUUCCCCGCCUGGGGAGUACGGCCGCAAGGCUAAAACUCAAAGGAAUUGACGGGGACCCGCACAAGCGGCGGAGCAUGCGGAUUAAUUCGAUGCAACGCGAAGAACCUUACCAAGGCUUGACAUAUACGAGAACGGGCCAGAAAUGGUCAACUCUUUGGACACUCGUAAACAGGUGGUGCAUG